CUUCAAACGGACAGCCGCGCGGGCGGCCGCGAAGCAGGUGGAAAUGUGAGCGCGCGGAUAUACGGGAAGCGCUGGCUGGGGUCAACGGUCCACAGGCAGGAUUCCCGAGGCCGCUUCGCCGUCAUCGCUUCCGAUCCGGAUCACGCGCCCUUGAACAGGGGUUUACGCUUCUCGACGAAGGCUGUCAUGCCUUCCUUCUGAUCCUCGAACGCAAACAGCGAAUGGAACAGCCGGCGCUCCAGCGCGACGCCGGUCGUCAGGGUCGUCUCAUAGGCGGCUUCGACCAGUUCCUUGUUCAUCGCCACGGCCAGCGGCGAUUGGCCGGCGAUCUUGGCGGCGAUCGCCAGGGUCUCGUCGACCAGGCUGUCGGCGGGGAAGAUCCGCGACACCAGACCGGAGCGCUCGGCUUCCUCCGCGCCCAUCAUCCGGCCGGUCAGGAUCAUGUCCAUGGCCUUGGACUUGCCGACAAAGCGGGUCAGGCGCUGGGUGCCGCCGAUGCCGGGCGCCACGCCCAGAUUGAUCUCGGGCUGGCCGAACUUGGCGGUGUCGGCGGCCAGGAUGAAGUCGCACAUCAUCGCCAGCUCGCAGCCGCCGCCCAGGGCGUAGCCCGCGACGGCGGCGAUGAUCGGCUUGCGGCACUGUUCGAUCGCCCGGGCGCC
rnacentral:sRNA from 1 species